rnacentral:rRNA from 1 species
UACGUGGGGUGCAAGCGUUAUCCGGAAUUAUUGGGCGUAAAGAGCUCGUAGGUGGUUUGUUACGUCUGCUGUGAAAACCUAGGGCUUAACCCCUGGCUUGCAGUGGAUACGGACAGACUAGAGGUAGGUAGGGGAGAAUGGAAUUCCCGGUGUAGCGGUGAAAUGCGCAGAUAUCAGGAGGAACACCAAUGGCGAAGGCAGAUCUCUGGGCCGUAACUGACGCUGGAGGAGCGGAAAGCAUGGGGAGCGAACAGG